UCACACUGCACGGCCUUGGCCAGCGGGAGUCAAACCCUAGGCACCUUUGUGGUCAUGCUAAGGAGCCCAAGAUGAUCCCCCAAGGGAUGGGGAGACCCUGCAGAUUUAAAUGGGACAGAGGGCUGCUCAGCACGGCCCUUUGGGGGAUGAGCCUGGAGGCCACGUGGAGGAUCGGUUUGGGGGUGAGACAGAGAGAGCCGGUAGGAGGAUGGUGUAAGAUGAUAAACUGCCUACGUGAUGAGCCGAAGCGCGGGAAUGACGCAGGCUUUGGGACGUCACGUGAGCAGCUACUGACCUGCUGAUGAUACUCAGAAGGAGGGUCUUGUACUCCCGGACCCGCGGAUAAGGGGGGCUACCGUAUAUUGAGGUAUUCACAGAGCAUCUCUACAUGAUGUCCUCAAAUUCAUCCUCAUAUAAGAAGAAUUAUAUUAUAUAAGAAGAAUCUUUUCCCUCCCAUUGACCCUUCACUCAUAUACACCACCUGACUGUCCAGUUGGUCCUAAUUUGGGCUGGUCCUUCUCCUGCCCAUAUCCUGUUAGGCUCGACACCCUGGCAGUUCGUCUGGACCCCGUGCCUUCUCCACUGUGUCCAUAGUCACCUUAAGCCUGCACCAUAGAAACACCCUCCUCUGCUUCCUUCCUAAUGUGCCCCCUCUCCUCAUCACUUUCGUCCCAGCCUUCCUGAAACACCGUUGCUUCUCCAGAGCCGUCUCUGUCCUCCCCCGCGCCCACACAACCAAAUCCGCCCCCCUUAGCCUGGCAUUCAAGGCUCUUCGCCAAGCAGCCUCCUCUAACUUCAUGGGCUCCUAUUUUGCCCUCCAGUCUGCAGUCUGUUCUAGGCCCCGUCUGGUUCGCUGCAGACCCUGAAAGACCAUGAGCCUUUCUGCCUCUUCACCUCCUUUCUGCAGCUUCCCGAAGGCCAUCCUCCUGACAGCCUUCCCUGACCACUUGAGUCCAGCAGCCUCUCUGUCACAGUCUGCUGCUGAGCCUCCCGUCUGCAUGCGUAUGUGUCAGCCUGUCGCCAUCUUCCCAACUGCAUCCAUAGGCCCCGCACAGAACAGGUGCUGCCUCAAAUCCCUGGGGAGAGCCUGGUCUCAGCUGAAACGAGCUCACGUGUGUGGAAGCACCUGAAACGUUCCCAAGCCCCACAGAGGAGUGGCCUGCGGUUUGACCAGCAAGAGCAGGACACAGAGAGAAGCUGCAGCAGGUGAAGCCUCUGGGAGAGCGUGGCCAUGAAGGACACCCGCUGACCAGGAAAGAGCCCCACCUGGCAUUGGAAGACAUGCUAUGAGCUACAAUCCCAGCCACCCCGCUAACAACCGAGGAGAGCUUGGGCAAGUCACUCCACUCUCUGAGCUUCAGUUCCCUCACUGGGAUGACAUUAUCCCAUCUGCUCUGCCUGCAUCCAGGGGCACUAGAAGAUGACAUGAGGUGGGAGAAGGAGUGUUUACCCAGCAGUCUGGUCUCAGCCCAGCCUGCCUGAGAAAGAGCAAGAACGAAGCCUGACUUGCCCCCAUUAGGAAGCUCUGUGCCAGUCUGGCCCUCAGCAGGCUGUGGGGAGAGCAGGAACUGAUCAAAGGCCAGGCUUGUAAACAGCGGGGAGAGCACCUCUCCCCACGCAGGGAAGCUGCAGACCGACUCCAUCUGACACCUGCCUGGCAGCCAGCAGGGCCCUCCCGCCCUCUAGUGGGCACAGUUGGGAGGUGCACCCGCUCCUACCCUAACAGCAGCGAGGUCUAUGGACUGCAGGAUGCCACCGUGCACGGGGAACUGUGCUGUGAGAUCUGUCACCUUAUAGAAUCCUCCACAGUCCUCCAAGGUCUGUGUUAUCAUCCCCUUCUUACAAAAUCCUAGGGUUUAGAGGUUAUGGAAUUGCGUAAGCCCCGCAGUUCAUAAUGGUGGAGCCGGGAUUUCCAGACUGGAGACUGUGUGGAGGGGUCCAGGUCACUUUAGGAUUCCCCUAGGGAGCCAACUAGGAGCUGGCAAGAUGCAGGUUCAUCAUCGGGGAGUUUUGUCACGGGAGAAUCAGGGCAGCUGGUUCUGGCAAAGGCCUCCCAAGAGCCCACCUCCUUCUUCAGCUCCUUGGUCCUACCCACCCCUCUCCUGCGGUCUGCAGCCUGAACAUGCCACCAUCCUUUACCACUGACCCCAUCCGCCACCCCCACCCCAGCCCCCACCCAGCGGCCAGGCUGCUUCCCCUCCAACAUGGGGGCAGAUCCUGUGGCUCAAGGCCCUUUUUCUCUAAGGUUGGGAUCCCCAAACUUUUCUACAAAGGGCCAAAUAGUAACUAUUUGAAGCUUUGUGGCCAUACGGUCUGUGCUAGAAUUUAAGCUUCCACUGUAGCAGGAAGCAGUCAUAGAGAAUGCAUGAGUGAAUGAGCACGCCUGUGUUUCAAUAAAACUUUAUCUCCAGA